AUUAAACGCUGGCGGCAUGCCUUACACAUGCAAGUCGAACGGUAGCGCGGGGCAACCUGGCGACGAGUGGCGAACGGGUGAGUAAAGCAUCGGAACGUGCCCUGGAAUGGGGGAUAACGUAGCGAAAGUUACGCUAAUACCGCAUAUUCUGUGAGCAGGAAAGCAGGGGAUCGCAAGACCUUGCGUUCUGGGAGCGGCCGAUGUCGGAUUAGCUAGUUGGUGGGGUAAAGCCUACCAAGGCGACGAUCCGUAGCGGGUCUGAGAGGAUGAUCCGCCACACUGGGACUGAGACACGGCCCAGACUCCUACGGGAGGCAGCAGUGGGGAAUUUUGGACAAUGGGCGGAAGCCUGAUCCAGCCAUGCCGCGUGAGUGAAGAAGGCCUUCGGGUUG
rnacentral:rRNA from 1 species